rnacentral:rRNA from 1 species
UACGUAGGCAGCGAGCGUUGUUCGGAGUUACUGGGCGUAAAGGGUGUGUGGGCGGUUCUUUAAGUUUGGUGUGAAAUCUCCCGGCUCAACCGGGAGGGUGCGCCGAAUACUGAGGGACUAGAGUACGGGAGAGGAAAGUGGAAUUCCUGGUGUAGCGGUGAAAUGCGUAGAUAUCAGGAGGAACACCGGUGGUGUAGACGGCUUUCUGGACCGUAACUGACGCUGAGACACGAAAGCGUGGGUAGCAAACAGG